GUCAGAUAUGGGAUGGGGGGACCCUAUGGGGUCACACUGGGGACAUUUGGGGUCCUUUGGGGUCUGAUAUGGGAUGGGGGGACCCUAUGGGGUCACACUGGGGACAUUUGGGGUCAUUUGGGGUCAGAUAUGGGAUGGGGGGACCCUAUGGGGUCAUAUUGGGGUCACAUUUGGGGUCAUUUGGGGUCAGAUAUGGGAUGGGGGACCCUAUGGGGUCACAAUGGGGUCACACUGGGGGUCAUUUGGGGUCACAUUUGGGGCCAUAUGGGGUCAGAUAUGGGAUGGGGGGACCCUAUGGGGUCACAUUGGGGUCACAAUGGGGGACAUUUGGGGUCAGAUAUGGGAUGGGGGGACCCUAUGGGGUCACACUGGGGUCAUUUGGGGCCAUAUGGGGACAUUUGGGGUCAGAUAUGGGAUGGGAGGACCAUAUGGGGUCACAUUGGGGUCAUUUGGGGCCAUAUGGGGACAUUUGGGGUCAGAUAUGGGAUGGGGGGACCCUAUGGGGUCACAUUGGGGUUACAUUUGGGGCCAUUUGGGGUCAGAUAUGGGAUGGGGGGACCCUAUGGGGUCACAUUGGGGUCACAUUUGGGGUCAUUUGGGGUCAGAUAUGGGAUGUGGGGACCCUAUGGGGUCACAUUGGGGUCAUUUGGGGUCAUUUGGGGUCACAUUGGGGCCAUAUGGGGUCAGAUAUGGGAUGGGGGGACCCUAUGGGGUCACAUUGGGGACAUUUGGGGUCAUUUGGGGUCAUUUGGGGUCAGAUAUGGGAUGGGGGGACCCUAUGGGGUCACAUUGGGGGACAUUUGGGGUCAUUUGGGGUCAGAUAUGGGAUGGGGGGACCCUAUGGGGUCAUAUUGGGGUCAUUUGGGGCCAUAUGGGGUCAGAUAUGGGAUGUGGGGACCCUAUGGGGUCACAUUGGGGACAUUUGGGGUCACAUUGGGGACAUUUGGGGUCAUUUGGGGCCAUAUGGGGUCAGAUAUGGGAUGGGGGGACCCUAUGGGGUCACAUUGGGGGACAUUUGGGGUCAUUUGGGGGGGGUUUCGGGGGGACAUUUGGGGUCACAGUGGGGGGGGGGGACACAGAUGGUGGCCCCACAGGGGGGGCUCCCUUAAAGGGACAGGCGACCCUAAAAGGUCCAACCCCAUUCAUCUUAAAGUGACAGGAGACCCUAAAAGCAAAACCCCAUUCAUCUUAAAGGGACAGGAGACCCUAAAAGCCCAACCCCAUUCAUCUUAAAGGGACAGGCCACCCUAAAAGCAAAACCCCAUUCAUCUUAAAGGGACAGAGACCCUAAAAGCAAAACCCCAUUCAUCUUAAAGGGACAGGCCACCCUAAAAGCCCAACCCCAUUCAUCUUAAAGGGAUAGGCGACCCUAAAAGCCCAACCCCAUUCAUCUUAAAGGGACAGGCCACCCUAAAAGCCCAACCCCAUUCAUCUUAAAGGGAUAGGCCACCCUAAAAGCCCAACCCCAUUCAUCUUAAAGGGACAGCGACCCCCAUAAAACACCAAGCCUGGAAGUCUUAAAGGGCCAGGCAUCCCUAAAAGCCAAAUCCUAUUGAUCUUAAAGGGCCAGGCGCCCCUCAAAGCUUAACCCUGUUGAUUUUAAAGGGCCAGAUGCCCCCACUGAAGAUGCAUAAACCCCUCUUAAAGGGCCAGACCCCCCUUAAAAAGCCAAACACCCCCUUAAAGGGCCAAACAACCCCUUAAAGGGCCAAACACCCCCUUAAAGGGCCAAACAACCCCUUAAAAGGCCGAACACCCCUCUUAAAGGGCCAAACACCCCCUUAAAGGGCCACACUCCCACUUAAAGCGCCGGACUCCCCCUUAAAGGGCCAGACACCCCCUUAAAAGGCCAGACUCCCCACUUAAAGGGCCAGACUCCCCCUUAAAGGGCCACACUCCCAUUUAAAGGGCCAAACACCCCCUUAAAGGGCCACACUCCCACUUAAAGGGCCACACUCUCACUUAAAGGGCCAAACACCCCCUUAAAGUGCCAGACUCCC
ensembl:lncRNA